GACGAACGCUGGCGGCGUGCUUAACACAUGCAAGUCGAACGGAAAGGCCCUGCUUGCAGGGUACUCGAGUGGCGAACGGGUGAGUAACACGUGGGUGAUCUGCCCUGCACUUCGGGAUAAGCCUGGGAAACUGGGUCUAAUACCGGAUAGGAGCCAUUUUUAGUGUGAUGGUUGGAAAGUUUUUUCGGUGUAGGAUGAGCUCGCGGCCUAUCAGCUUGUUGGUGGGGUAAUGGCCUACCAAGGCGGCGACGGGUAGGCGGCCUGAGAGGGUGGACGGCCACAUUGGGACUGAGAUACGGCCCAGACUCCUACGGGAGGCAGCAGUGGGGAAUAUUGCACAAUGGGCGCAAGCCUGAUGCAGCGACGCCGCGUGGGGGAUGACGGCCUUCGGGUUGAAAACUCCUUUCGCUAGGGACGAAGCUUUUUGUGACGGUACCUAGAUAAGAAGCACCGGCUAACUACGUG
rnacentral:rRNA from 1 species